AUACUUACCUGGCAGGGGAGAUACCAUGAUCAGGAAGGUGGUUUCCCCAGGGCCAGGCUUAUCCAUUGCACUUCGGAUGUGCUGACCCCUGCGAUUUUCCCAAAUGUGGGAAACUCGACUGCAUAAUUUGUGAUAGAGUGGGACUGAGUUAUAAAUUUUUUA